AAUAGAUACCCAGGUAGUCCACGCCGUAAACGAUGAAUACUCGGCAUCUGAAGGGCGAUUUUCGUCCCUCGGGUGCCCUAGCUAACGCGAUAAGUAUUCCGCCUGGGAACUACGAGCGCAAGCUUAAAACUCAAAGGAAUUGACGGGGGGCCCGCACAAGCAGCGGAGCGUGUGGUUUAAUUCGACGCAACGCGCAGAACCUUACCCAGGUUUGACAUGGCACUGCAAGCCGGUGAAAGCCGGUCGCCUUCGAGGGUGUGCCACAGAUGCUGCAUGGCUGUUGUCAGCUCGUGUCGUGAGAUGUUGGGUUAAGUCCCGCAACGAGCGCAACCCCUACGGUCAGUUGCCAUCGGUUUGGCCGGGGCACUCUGAAGAAACUGCCGGUGACAAGCCGGAGGAAGGCGGGGAUGACGUCAAGUCCUCAUGGCCCUUAUGGGCUGGGCUACACACGUGCUACAAUGGCGGUGACGAGGAGGGGGAGGCGAAGGGGUGGCGGAGCCCGAGCCAAUCUACAAAAAACCGUCUCAGUUCGGAUUGCU
rnacentral:rRNA from 1 species